UACGAAGGGGGCUAGCGUUGCUCGGAAUCACUGGGCGUAAAGCGCACGUAGGCGGAUCUUUAAGUCAGGGGUGAAAUCCCAAGGCUCAACCUUGGAACUGCCUUUGAUACUGGGGAUCUCGAGUCCGGAAGAGGUGAGUGGAACUGCGAGUGUAGAGGUGAAAAUUCGUAGAUAUUCGCAAGAACACCAGUGGCGAAGGCGGACUCACUGGUCCGGUUACGUGACGCUGAGGUGCGAAAAGCGUGGGGAGCAAACAGGG
rnacentral:rRNA from 1 species